rnacentral:lncRNA from 1 species
UGCUGCUGCACAAGUUGCGUUUGACUUGCCAGUGCAUUCCCAUGUAUCUCCUCUACUCGUUUCUCAUCACUGGCUUCUUGUAACUGCCUGGAUCAAAUUUAAGACCCUGGUUAUUGCCUACAAAUGUAUCAAUGGAACUGCUCCCAGAUAUCUACAAGACUUGAUCAACCUCUACAUCCCAACCAGACCCCUUCGCUCAUCUGCUUCUGCUCGUUUGGCGGUCCCGCGCAUGAAAGAGUGGACAUGGGGUCUUCGCAGAGCAAGAGGUGGGACUGCACGCGAUACCUCAACGGAGCCGGACCGACGUCCCAGACACAAAGCCGGAGCACGAACAGGAGCACGUGGGCUGGAACCACCAGGGAGACUCCGUCAGACGGCCAAAGGGAUGGGAGAGGUUCGGCCGCAGGGGCUGAUGGGAAGGACAAGUCCUCCAAGCGUGCGAGUGUUUAGAGCCAACACAGUUCACCUGGGCACAACUGAUGAUGGGUUUCGAACUGAAGUCACCUCACUUGACCUGCGGUAAAGAGCGGACCCUCGAUGAGAAGGUCACUCAGGACACCUCAACGCCGACGUCUGAGCCUAAGACCACAAGUCCCUCCACUCCCACAUUACUGCUUAUCCCUCUAUAUCACAGGAAUCAUAGAUCAGAGUUACACCUAUCAAUUAAAACCCAUCCGUUGUCCCAUAACACAUCUUUUUCAGUUUAUGCUACUUAUACGUAAAACUGUGACCAUGUAUUAUAGAGUGUUUAAAAGCAAUAUUAAAUCAAUGGUACUGUGACACUUUGUGUAGUUGAACUCCUCUCGCG